CCUGAGAAAUGGCUACCACUUCUACGGAAGGCAGCAGGCGCGCAAAUUACUCAAUCCCAAUACGGGGAAGUAGUGACAAAAAAUACUAAUGCCUUUCCAUUUAUAUGGGGGGCAAUUGGAAUAAGUACAACUUAAAUCGCUUAGCAAAAGUGAUUGGAGGGCAAGUCUGGUGCCAGCAGCCGCGGUAAUUCCAGCUCCAAUAGCGUAUACUAAAUUUGUUGCAGUUAAAAAGCUCGUAGUUGAGAUUGAGAUUUCUUAGGUUUAGAGUCGCUUGGCCUUCGGGUUUGAGUUUGAUUCGUAAAGCUCUAUAGUAGAAUUCCAUUUUAUUAUUAGGGUUACUAAGAAAUUUCUAUCUGCCCAUGGUAGCUAGCAAUAGUUAUCAAUCGGGUGAUCUACUGUGAGAAAAUUGUAGUGUUCAAAGCAGGCGUCUUACGUUUGUUCAAUGCAGCAUGGUAUAGUAAAAUAUGACACUAAAUAUAUGUUGGUUGUAUAUUCUUAGUGUAAUGACUAAUAGGGAAGGGCGGGGCCGUU
rnacentral:rRNA from 1 species